UCAAUUACACAAAAUGUCACAUUUUCACUAAGAACACACAAAAUGGCAAUAAAAUGUACUACCAAAGAAAAGAAAAAUCCAUAUAAUAUAGUAUUAGAUAACAAAAAUUAAAAAGAUAAAGAUAAAAAAUAAAAAAGAAUGUAAAUGAAAGAUGAAAAUGGUGAAGAUAACUACGUUUUUUCAACGUACUCUCAUUUUUGGAUGAAAAUUAGACUAUAUUUUCUUUGUUUUUUUGCAACCUUUUCUGAAAAUAAGGUGGCUUGCCAAUCGGGCGUGGUCACCAGUGGAGGCCGUGAUACAUCGGAACCGAAGCACGUGGGGAUUG
rnacentral:lncRNA from 1 species